rnacentral:lncRNA from 1 species
AGCAGCUAGCACUCCACCUCCUCGGAGAAGCGUGCGAGGCCGCUGGGCCGGAGGUCGGAGGGCGCACAAGGGCUGGCGGUGGCCUGGCACUGGGCGGCGGGCUGGGACAGGGCGGGCACCGGCCAGAGAAGCCGAGUCUUGGCGGCAACCGGCCUCGGACGAUGCCGCUAGGAGAUGGAGCGGGCGGCCGGCCGGCCGAAGGGCAGGACCGCUGCCGGUGG